rnacentral:snRNA from 1 species
GUACUUGCUUUGGCAGUACAUAUACUAAAAUUGGAAAGAUAUUGGGAAGAUUAGCAUGCCCUCUGCAUGAGAAUGACAUGUAAAUUCAUGAAGUGUUCCAUAUUUUG